ncrna:unclassified sequences Mu-gpT-DE RNA
UCCUGACGAUCACAUGGUGUGAUCGACGUAGCCCUGACAGGAGAUUGAUAUG